rnacentral:rRNA from 1 species
CACGCCAUAAACGAUGAGUGCUAGGUGUUGGGGGUCAAACCUCGGUGCCGCAGUUAACGCAUUAAGCACUCCGCCUGGGGAGUACGUUCGCAAGAAUAAAACUCAAAGGAAUUGACGGGGGCCCGCACAAGCAGUGGAGUAUGUGGUUUAAUUCGAAGCAACGCGAAGAACCUUACCAGGGCUUGACAUCCUCGGACGACACUAGAGAUAGUGUUUUCUCUUCGGAGACUGAGAGACAGGUGG